rnacentral:rRNA from 1 species
AAUAAGCACGGGCUAACUACGUGCCAGCAGCCGCGGUCAUACGUAGGGUGCAAGCAUUAUCCGGAGUGACUGGGCGUAAAGAGUUGCGUAGGUGGUUUGUUAAGUGAAUGGUGAAAUCUGGAGGCUCAACCUCACAGACUAUCAUUCAAACUGGCAAGCUCGAGAAUAGCAGAGGUAACUGGAAUUUCUAGUGUAGGAGUGAAAUCCGUAGAUAUUAGAAGGAACACCAAUGGCGUAGGCAGGUUACUGGGCUAUUUCUGACACUAAUGCACGAAAGCGUGGGGAGCGAACCGGAUUAGAUACCCGGGUAGUCCACGCCGUAAACACUGGAUACUAGCUGUUGGGGGUAUCGACCCCCUCAGUAGCGAAGCUAACGCGUUAAGUAUCCCGCCUGUGGAGUACGGUCGCAAGACUAAAACAUAAAGGAAUUGACGGGGACCCGCACAAGCGGUGGAGCGUGUUCUUUAAUUCGAUGAUAAACGAUAAACCUUACCAGGGUUUGACAUCCUUAGAAUUUCUGUGAAAGCAGAAAGUGCUUUAUUGAGCUAAGAGACAGGUGAUGCAUGGCCGUCGUCAGCUCGUGUCGUGAGAUGUUUGGUUAAGUCCAUCAACGAGCGCAACCCUUGUGAUUAGUUGUAUUUUUCUAAUCAGACUGCCCCGGUAACGGGGAGGAAGGAGGGGAUGAUGUCAGGUCAGUAUUUCCCUUACACCCUGGGCUAGAAACGCGCUACAAUGGUCAGUACAAUGCGCAGCGAAAUCGCGAGAUGGAGCAAAUCGCACCAAAACUGAUCCCAGUUCGGAUUGCAGGCUGAAACUCGCCUGCAUGAAGUCGGAAUCGCUAGCAAUCGCAGAUCAGCAUGCUGCGGUGAAUACGUUCCCGGGUCUUGCACACACCGCCCGU